rnacentral:rRNA from 1 species
AUUGAACGCUGGCGGCAUGCCUUACACAUGCAAGUCGAACGGCAGCACGGGUGCUUGCACCUGGUGGCGAGUGGCGAACGGGUGAGUAAUACAUCGGAACAUGUCCUGUAGUGGGGGAUAGCCCGGCGAAAGCCGGAUUAAUACCGCAUACGAUCUACGGAUGAAAGCGGGGGACCUUCGGGCCUCGCGCUAUAGGGUUGGCCGAUGGCUGAUUGGCUGGUUGGUGGGGUAAAGGCCUACCACGGCGACGAGCAGUAGCUGGUGUGAGAGGAGGACCAGCCACACUGGGACUGAGACACGGCCCAGACUCCUACGGGAGGCAGCAGUGGGGAAUGUUGGACAAUGGGCGAAAGCCUGAUCCAGCAAUGCCGCGUGUGUGAAGAAGGCCUUCGGGUUGUAAAGCACUUUUGUCCGGAAAGAAAUCCUUGGCCCUAAUACGGUCGGGGGAUGACGGUACCGGAAGAAUAAGCACCGGCUAACUACGUG